CGAGCGCGCCCGCGACGAUCACAACAUCAGGGGGGCCCCCACACCGGGAGGUGUUUUACCCGUCGCCCCCCGGGAGCCCCCCCCACCUCCUCUCUCUCUCUCUCUCUCGGAGUUAUGGUGAUGGUCAAGUUUGUUUUUUACGCAGUUUUG
ensembl:ncRNA H30A04.4 ncRNA